rnacentral:rRNA from 1 species
UGGGGAAUUUUGGACAAUGGGCGAAAGCCUGAUCCAGCAAUGCCGCGUGUGUGAAGAAGGCCUUCGGGUUGUAAAGCACUUUUGUCCGGAAAGAAAUCCUUGGCUCUAAUACAGUCGGGGGAUGACGGUACCGGAAGAAUAAGCACCGGCUAACUACGUGCCAGCAGCCGCGGUAAUACGUAGGGUGCGAGCGUUAAUCGGAAUUACUGGGCGUAAAGCGUGCGCAGGCGGUGAUGUAAGACCGAUGUGAAAUCCCCGGGCUCAACCUGGGAACUGCAUUGGUGACUGCAUUGCUCGAGUAUGGCAGAGGGGGGUGGAAUUCCACGUGUAGCAGUGAAAUGCGUAGAGAUGUGGAGGAACACCGAUGGCGAAGGCAGCCCCCUGGGCCAAUACUGACGCUCAUGCACGAAAGCGUGGGGAGCAAAACAGGAUUAGAUACCCUGGUAGUCCACGCCCUAAACGAUGUCAACUGGGUUGUCGGGCCUUCAUUGCUUAGUAACGUAGCUAACGCGUGAAGUUGACCGCCUGGGGAGUACGGUCGCAAGAUUAAAACUCAAAGGAAUUGACGGGGUCAUAGCUGUUUCCU